rnacentral:rRNA from 1 species
AACGAACGCUGGCGGCAGGCUUAACACAUGCAAGUCGAGCGCAUCCUUCGGGGUGAGCGGCAGACGGGUGAGUAACGCGUGGGGAUGUGCCUAGAGGUGGGGAAUAACUGUGGGAAACUACAGCUAAUACCGCAUAAGCCCUUCGGGGGAAAGAUUUAUCGCCUUUAGAUCAACCCGCGUCAGAUUAGCUAGUUGGUAGGGUAAUGGCCUACCAAGGCGACGAUCUGUAGCUGGUCUGAGAGGAUGAUCAGCCACACUGGGACUGAGACACGGCCCAGACUCCUACGGGAGGCAGCAGUGGGGAAUAUUGGACAAUGGGCGCAAGCCUGAUCCAGCCAUGCCGCGUGAGUGAUGACGGCCUUAGGGUUGUAAAGCUCUUUUAACAGGGACGAUAAUGACGGUACCUGUAGAAUAAGCCCCGGCUAACUUCGUGC